rnacentral:tRNA from 1 species
UGUCCGAGUGGCGGAAUGGCAGACGCGCUAGCUUGAGGUGCUAGUGCCCUAUUAACGGGCGUGGGGGUUCAAGUCCCCCCUCGGACACCCA